rnacentral:lncRNA from 1 species
UGGGGUUUUUGGGGACACUGGGGACAUUUGGGGACAUUUGGGGUCAUUUAUUUGGGGCCAUUUGGGACCAUUUGGGUGGGUUUGGGGGACAUUUAGGGUGGUUUUGGGGCCAUUUUGGGUGUUUGGGGGGCCAUUUUGGGUGCUUUUGGGGCCAUUUUGGGUGCUUUUGGGGGAUAUUUUGGGAUUUUGGGUUUUUGGGACCAUUUUGGGGCCAUUUUGGGGCCAUUUGGGACCAUUUGGGUGGGUUUGGGGGACAUUUAGGGUGGUUUUGGGGCCAUUUUGGGUGUUUGGGGGGCCAUUUUGGGUGCUUUUGGGGCCAUUUUGGGUGCUUUUGGGGGAUAUUUUGGGAUUUNNNNNNNNNNGACACUGGGGACAUUUGGGGCCAUUUGGGGCCAUUUUGGUGGUUUUGGGGGGACAUUUGGUGGGUUUGGGGGCCAUUUUGGGUGCUUUUGGGGUUAUAUUUUGGGAUUUGGGGUUUUUGGGACCAUUUUGGGGUCAUUUUGGGGCCAUUUGGGACCAUUUGGGUGGGUUUGGGGGACAUUUAGGGUGGUUUGGGGGCCAUUUUGGGUGGUUUUGGGGCCAUUUUGGGUGGUUUUAGGGCCAUUUUGGGUGCUUUUGGGCUUAUAUUUUGGGAUUUUGGGUUUUUGGGACCAUUUUGGGGCAAUUUUGGGGCAAUUUGGGACCAUCCUUGCCCUCCUUCCCCCGCAGGUCCCCCCAGAAGAAGACGCGGCCACCCCGCGGCCCCCGGUGACGUCCCCGCGUCCCCCCCGGGCCACCAAACGUCCCCAAAUUUCCCCAAAUCCCCCCUUGGGGGCCCCAAAACCACCCAAAAAGCCCCGGCUGGCCCCGGGGGGCCGCUGUCCCCAAACGUCCCCAAAUUCGUGUCCCCAAAUGUCCCAAACGACCCCAAAUUCGUGUCCCCAAACGUCCCCAAAUUCGUGUCCCCAAAUGUCCCCAAAUUCGUGUCCCCAAACGUCCCAAAAGUCCCGAACCUCAAUGUCCCCAAAUUCGUGUCCCCAAAUGUCCCAAACGACCCCAAAUUCGUGUCCCCAAACGUCCCCAAAUUCGUGUCCCCAAAUGUCCCCAAAUUCGUGUCCCCAAAUGUCCCAAACGACCCCAAAUUCAUGUCCCCAAACCUCGAGGACCUCCGAUUUGUCCCCGUGUCCCCAAAUGUCCCCAAAUUUGUGUCCCCAAACCUCCUCGAGGUCCUCAAACCCCUCCCCAUGUCCCCAAAUGUCCCAAAUGUCCCCAAAUUUGUGUCCCCAAACCUCCUGGAGGUCCUCCAAGCCAUGUUCUCAACGGUUGAGGGCCUCCAACCCAACCUCGUGUCCCCAAAUGUCCCAAACGACCCCAAAUUUGUGUCCUUUGACCUCCUCGACCUCCUCCAACUCUUCUCCUCCAACCUCCUCGAGGUCCUCCAGGCCAUGUUCUCAACGGUUGAGGGCCUCCACCCUGGCCCCGUGUCCCCAAAUGUCCCCAAAUUCGUGUCCCCAAACCUCCUUGAGGUCCUCCAACCCAUCCCAACCUUCUCCAACCUCCUCCAACCCAUGUCCUCAACCCCCGUUGAGGUCCUCCAAGCCAUGUUCUCAACACUUGAGGUCCUCCAACCCAUCCCAACCUCCUCCAACCUCCUCCACCUCUUGUCCUCCAACCUCCUCGAGGCCCUCCAACCCAUCCCCAUGUCCUCCAACCUCAUUGACCUCCUCCACCCCACCUCCUUCAACCUCCUUGAGGUCCUCCACCCCACAUCCUCCAACCUUCACGUCCUCCACCUCAUCCAAACCUCCUCCAACCUCCUCAACCUUCUCCAACUCUUGUCCUCCAACCUCUUUGAGGUCCUCCAAGCCAUGUUCUCAAACCUUGAGGUCCUCCAACCCAUGCUCAUGUCCUUCAACCUCCUCAACCUCCUCCACCCCACAUCCUCCAACGUCCUCCAGGUCCUCCAACCCAUCCCCACCUCCUCCAUCCUCCAAGAACUCUUCCAACCCAUGUCCUCAAAGCUCCUUGAUGUCCUCCAAGCCAUGUCCUCAAAGGUUGAGGUCCUCCAACCCAUCCCCAUGUCCUUCAACCUCCUCGACCUCCUCCAACCCAUGUCCUCCAACCUCCUUGAGGUCCUUCAAGCCAUGUCCUCAAACCUUGAGGUCCUCCACCCCAUCCCAACCUUCUCCAACCUCCUCCAACCCAUGUCCUCAACACCCUUUGAGGUCCUCCAACCCAUCCCCAUGUCCUCCAACCUCUUCAACCUCCUCCACCCCAUGUCCUCAAAGCUCAUCGAGGUCCUCCAAGCCAUGUUCUCAAAGGUUGAGGUCCUCCAACCCAUCCCAACCUCUUCAUACCUCUUCAAGGUCCUCCAGCUCUUGGCCUCCAACCUCGUUGGGGGCCUCCACCCCAUCCCCAUGUCCUCAACCCUCCUUGACCUCCUCCAGCUCUUGUCCUCCAACCUCUUCGAGGUCCUCCACCCCACAUCCUCCAACCUUGACGUCCUCCAACCCAUCCCAACCUCUUCCAACCUCCUUGAGGUCCUCCAAGCCAUGUUCUCAAAGGUUGAGCUCCUCCACCCCAUCCCCAUGUCCUCCAACCUCAUUGACCUCCUCCACCCCACCUCCUUCAACCUCCUUGAGGUCCUCCACCCCACAUCCUCCAACCUCGAGGUCCUCCAACCCAUCUCCACCUCCUCCAACCUCCUCCAACUCUUGUCCUCCAACCUCCUUGACCUCCAAGCCAUGUCCUCAACACUCGUUGAGGUCCUCCAACCCAUCCUCAUGUCCUCCAACCUCCUUGACCUCCUCCAACCCAUGUCCUCCAACCUCCUCGAGGUCCUCCAAACCAUCCCAACCUCUUCAUACCUAUUCAAGGUCCUCCAAUUCUUGUCCUCCAACCUCCUCGACCUCCACCCCACGUCCUCCAACCUCCUCCAGGUCCUCCANNNNNNNNNNAGCCAUGUCCUCAACGGUUGAGGUCCUCCAACCCGUCCCAACCUCCUCCAACCUCCUCCAGGUCCUCCAAGCCAUGUCCUCAAAGGUUGAGGUCCUCCACCCCAUCCCCAUGUCCUCCAACCUCCUCGAGGUCCUCCAAACCAUCCCAACCUCUUCAUACCUAUUCAAGGUCCUCCAAUUCUUGUCCUCCAACCUCCUCGACCUCCACCCCAUGUCCUCCAACCUCCUCCAGGUCCUCCAAGCCAUGUCCUCAACGGUUGAGGUCCUCCAACCCGUCCCAACCUCCUCCAACCUCCUUGACCUUCUCCAACCCACGUCCUCCAACCUCCUCCAGGUCCUCCAAGCCAUGUCCUCAACGGUUGAGGUCCUCCAACCCGUCCCAACCUCCUCCAACCUCCUCCACCCCUUGUCCUCCACCCCCUUUGAGGUCCUCCAACCCAUCCUCAUGUCCUUCAACUUCCUUGACCUCCUCUAACUCUUCUCCUCCAAUGUCCUCCAGGUCCUCCACCCCAUCCCAACCUCCUCCAACGUCCUUGACCUUCUCCAACCCACGUCCUCCAACCUCCUCGAGGUCCUCCAACCCAUGUCCUCAAACCCCGUUGAGGUCCUCCAACCCAUCCCAACCUCCUCCAACCUCCUACACCUCCUCCACCCCAUAUCUUCCACCCUCCUUGAGGUCCUCCAACCCAUCUCCACCUCCUCCAACCUCCUCCAACUCUUCUCCUCCAACCUCUUCGAGGUCCUCCAAGCCAUGUUCUCAAACGUUGAUGUCCUCCAACCCAUCUCUACCUCCUCCAACCUCCUCAACCUCCUCCAACUCUUGUCCUUCACCCUCCUUGAGGUCCUCCACCCCACAUCCUCCAACCUUCUCGAGGUCUUCCAAGCCAUGUUCUCAACGCUUGAGGUCCUCCAACCCAUCCCGACCUCCUCCAACCUCCUUGACCUCCACCCCAUGUCCUCAACCCUCCUUGAGGUCCUCCAACUCUUCUCCUCCAACCUCUUUGAGGUCCUCCAACUCAUCCUCAUGUCCUCCAACCUCCUCGAUCUCCUCCACCUCUUCUCCUCCAACCUCCUUGAGGUCCUCCAACCCAUCCCCACCUCCUCCAACCUCCUCCAACUCUUCUCCUCCAACCUCUUCGAGGUCCUCCAAGCCAUGUUCUAAAAGGUUGAGGUCCUCCACCCCAUCCCAACCUUCUCCAACCUCCUCCACCCCACAUCCUCCACCCCCGUUGAGGUCCUCCAACCCAUCCCAACCUCCUCAACCCUCCUCAACCUCUAACCUCUUCCACCUCUUCUCCUCCAACCUCUUCGAGGUCCUCCACCCCAUCUCUACCUCCUCCAACCUCCUCCAACCCAUGUCUUAGAACCUCCUCGAGGUCCUCCAAGCCAUGUUCUCAAAGGUUGAGGUCCUCCAACCCAUCCCAACCUCCUCCAACCUCCUCAACCUCCUCCACCCC